ensembl:miRNA predicted gene, 44376
AGGGAACUUGUUAAACAGCAGAUUCUGAUUCAGCAAGUCCAGGGUAUGGGGUGAAAUGGUACCUUUCCCACAAGCUCCCAGAUGAUGCUGAUGUAGCUGGCCCAUAGACCACACUUUGGGUACACAAAGA